rnacentral:rRNA from 1 species
UGGGGAAUUUUGGACAAUGGGCGAAAGCCUGAUCCAGCAAUGCCGCGUGUGUGAAGAAGGCCUUCGGGUUGUAAAGCACUUUUGUCCGGAAAGAAAUCCUUGGCUCUAAUACAGUCGGGGGAUGACGGUACCGGAAGAAUAAGCACCGGCUAACUACGUGCCAGCAGCCGCGGUAAUACGUAGGGUGCAAGCGUUAAUCGGAAUUACUGGGCGUAAAGCGUGCGCAGGCGGUUUGCUAAGACCGAUGUGAAAUCCCCGGGCUCAACCUGGGAACUGCAUUGGUGACUGGCAGGCUAGAGUAUGGCAGAGGGGGGUAGAAUUCCACGUGUAGCAGUGAAAUGCGCAGAGAUGUGGAGGAAUACCGAUGGCGAAGGCAGCCCCCUGGGCCAAUACUGACGCUCAUGCACGAAAGCGUGGGGAGCAAACAGGAUUAGAUACCCUGGUAGUCCACGCCCUAAACGAUGUCAACUAGUUGUUGGGGAUUCAUUUCCUUAGUAACGUAGCUAACGCGUGAAGUUGACCGCCUGGGGAGUACGGUCGCAAGAUUAAAACUCAAAUGAAUUGACGGGAUCAUAGCUGUUUCCU